UACAGAGGGUGCGAGCGUUUAAUCGGAAUGACUGGGCGUAAAGGGCGCGUAGGUGGAUGUGUGUGUUGGAUGUGAAAGCCCCGGGCUUAACCUGGGAAUUGCAUACAAAACUGCACAUCUAGAGUAGAGCAGAGGUGAGUGGAAUUUCCGGAGUAGCGGUGAAAUGCGUAGAUACCGGAAGGAACACCAGUGGCGAAGGCGACUCACUGGGCUCAAACUGACACUGAGGCGCGAAAGCGUGGGGAGCAAACAGG
rnacentral:rRNA from 1 species